AGUUUCUCCAAGCAGUCAGUGUCUGAAAGUGGCAUUGAGGCGACACCGGCCGGUGACCAGGUCGCCGUGGCUUCGGCCCCCUAUAUUAACCCUACCUGAUUCCGCCUCGUAGGAAACUGCUGGGCAACAAAACG
rnacentral:misc_RNA from 1 species